rnacentral:rRNA from 1 species
ACCAUCCUCCAAGGCUAAAUACUCCUGACUGACCGAUAGUGAACCAGUACCGUGAGGGAAAGGCGAAAAGAACCCCGGCGAGGGGAGUGAAAAAGAACCUGAAACCGUGUACGUACAAGCAGUGGGAGCACAGGUUUACCUGUGUGACUGCGUACCUUUUGUAUAAUGGGUCAGCGACUUAUAUUCUGUAGCAAGGUUAACCG